AGUGAACGCUGGCGGUAGGCCUAACACAUGCAAGUCGAACGGCAGCACAGUAAGAGCUUGCUCUUACGGGUGGCGAGUGGCGGACGGGUGAGGAAUACAUCGGAAUCUACUUUUUCGUGGGGGAUAACGUAGGGAAACUUACGCUAAUACCGCAUACGACCUACGGGUGAAAGCAGGGGAUCUUCGGACCUUGCGCGAUUGAAUGAGCCGAUGUCGGAUUAGCUAGUUGGCGGGGUAAAGGCCCACCAAGGCGACGAUCCGUAGCUGGUCUGAGGGGAUGAUCAGCCACACUGGAACUGAGACACGGUCCAGACUCCUACGGGAGGCAGCAGUGGGGAAUAUUGGACAAUGGGGGCAAGCCUGAUCCAGCCAUACCGCGUGGGUGAAGAAGGCCUUCGGGUUGUAAAGCCCUUUUGUUGGGAAAGAAAAGCAGCAGGUUAAUACCCCGCUGUUCUGACGGUACCCAAAGAAUAAGCACCGGCUAACUUCGUG
rnacentral:rRNA from 1 species